UACGAACUGUGCAAACGUUAUUCGGAAUCACUGGGCUUAAAGGGCGCGUAGGCGGGAUGGCAAGUCAGUCGUGAAAUCUCUCGGCUCAACCGAGAAACGUCGGCUGAUACUGCCGUUCUUGAGGGAUGCAGAGGAGACUGGAAUUCCCGGUGUAGCGGUGAAAUGUGUAGAGAUCGGGAGGAACACCGGUGGCGAAGGCGGGUCUCUGGGCAUCUCCUGACGCUGAGGCGCGAAAGCGUGGGGAGCAAACGGG
rnacentral:rRNA from 1 species